CCCUUAGAUGUUCUGGGCCGCACGCGUGCUACACUGAGUGGAUCAGCGGGUCAGGUUGCGCGAAAGCGUUUCCUAAUCUUUAAAUCCGCUCGUGAUGGGGAUUGACGGUUGCAAUUUUCUGUCAUGAACGAGGAAUACCUAGUAAGCGCGAGUCAUCAGCUCGCGUUGACUACGUCCCUGCCCUUUGUACACACCGCCCGUCGCUCCUACCGAUUGAAUGGUCCGGUGAAGUGUUCGGAUCGCGCCGACGUGGGCGGUUCGCCGCCGGCGACGUCGCGAGAAGUCCACUGAACCUUAUCAUUUAGAGGAAGGAGAAGUCGUAACA
rnacentral:rRNA from 1 species